rnacentral:rRNA from 1 species
AUUGAACGCUGGCGGCAGGCCUAACACAUGCAAGUCGAGCGGAUGAGAAGAGCUUGCUCUUCGAUUCAGCGGCGGGCGGGUGAGUAAUGCCUAGGAAUCUGCCUGGUAGUGGGGGACAACGUUUCGAAAGGAACGCUAAUACCGCAUACGUCCUACGGGAGAAAGCAGGGGACCUUCGGGUCUUGCGCUAUCAGAUGAGCCUAGGUCGGAUUAGCUAGUUGGUGAGGUAAUGGCUCACCAAGGCGACGAUCCGUAACUGGUCUGAGAGGAUGAUCAGUCACACUGGAACGGGGACACGGUCCAGACUCCUACGGGAGGCAGCAGUGGGGAAUAUUGGACAAUGGGCGAAAGCCUGAUCCAGCCAUGCCGCGUGUGUGAAGAAGGUCUUCGGAUUGUAAAGCACUUUAAGUUGGGAGGAAGGGCAGUAAGUUAAUACCUUGCUGUUUUGACGUUACCGACAGAAUAAGCACCGGCUAACUCUGUGCCAGCAGCCGCCGUAACAC